GGUAACCGGCUCACCAAGGCAUCGACGGGUAGCUGGUCUGAGAGGAUGAUCAGCCACACUGGGACUGAGACACGGCCCAGACUCCUACGGGAGGCAGCAGUGGGGAAUCUUGCACAAUGGGCGAAAGCCUGAUGCAGCAACGCCGCGUGCGGGAUGACAGCCCUAGGGUUGUAAACCGCUUUCAGCAGGGAAGAAAAUGACGGUACCUGCAGAAGAAGAUGCGGCCAACUACGUGCCAGCAGCCGCGGUGACACGUAGGCACCAAGCGUUAUCCGGAUUUAUUGGGCGUAAAGAGCUCGUAGGCGGUUCGGUAAGUCGGGUGUGAAAACUCUGGGCUCAACCCAGAGAGGCCACUCGAUACUGCUGUGACUAGAGUGCGGUAGGGGAGCGGGGAAUUCCUGGUGUAGCGGUGAAAUGCGCAGAUAUCAGGAGGAACACCAGUGGCGAAGGCGCCGCUCUGGGCCGUAACUGACGCUGAGGAGCGAAAGCAUGGGUAGCAAACAGGAUUAGAUACCCUGGUAGUCCAUGCCGUAAACGUUGGGCACUAGGUG
rnacentral:rRNA from 1 species